rnacentral:misc_RNA from 1 species
AGAAGUGAAGUCGGAUCCAGA